AAUACAUUCCCAGAAAGGUAAGCCGCGCCUUGCUUUCUUCCCGUAAAUCAACACGGCGAGGCGCAUUUGUGUAAUGGGUUCUCUCCUUGACUAAUUUAAUCGGGUACCAGAGAACUGAGAGUGACCCUCAGCACUUCCUUACCUCUGCAACAAGGCAGUAAAGAAAGAUGCCACUGCUCUCUAUCCAUAGCAUGCAAGCCAGGACUCCG
rnacentral:lncRNA from 1 species